UUUUCUUGGAGAUGAUCAAGUUACCAGCAAGAGAAGGUUGGACACAACACUUUGUUGAAUAUUAUUGCUGGGUGAGCUGGAAAGGAACCAGUAGUUACAUGGUAGCCUUUGAGUCCUUGUGAUCAGUUACAUUGUUCCCAAACUGCCAAUCUGCUGUCACAGGAUACAUUGUUCCCAAACUGCCAAUCUGCAUGUUCAUGGAGACAGAAGAGAAAGCUGGAAAGUGGCUGGUCCUUUGAUAAUGGGAUUCAAGCCAGACCGAGAGUUUUACUUUCUUUUGCUGGGGGAAUUCGAGAACUACCUUGAAUGUUAUUCCACCCAGAAGAAAAAAGGGUGCCCUGCUCUUGGCUGGAUUCCAGAGAGCACAUUUGUAUAAAAAUGUUCCCAUUAUGGAGUGUGACAUCUAUUAAUGGAGCACCAUAUGCACCAGAGCCUCUCCUUCGCCACUGCCACCGCCGCUGCCGCCUCACAACCUGAAGUGACGGAGUAGCUUUAAACUAUCACUAAAAAAUGAAACUAAGUUAAAAAAAAAAAGGAAGACAUCUGCUUGUCACCAGGAGAGAUCUGCAGAGCUGCUUGAUAAUAGAAAAGUCAAGGAAUCCUAUACAAGCCAAGGAAACCCAUCUUGCAAAUAGAAACAUUCCCCUGAAAAACAAGUUUUCAAAAACGUUGGGCCGUGUUUCUUUCCCUGGCAUUAUUGAUGCUAAAGUGGUAUAGGAUCUGGGAUCUAGGUUUUCAUUUGUUUUGUCUUUUAACUUUGUUUGACACAGGGUGAAAGAGUUAAGAAUGCACCACAGGUUGGUAUGUGGGAG
rnacentral:lncRNA from 1 species